rnacentral:rRNA from 1 species
AGAGUUUGUUCCUGGCUCAGAUUGAACGCUGGCGGCAGGCCUAACACAUGCAAGUCGAGCGGUAGAGAGAAGCUUGCUUCUCUUGAGAGCGGCGGACGGGUGAGUAAUGCCUAGGAAUCUGCCUGGUAGUGGGGGAUAACGUUCGGAAACGGACGCUAAUACCGCAUACGUCCUACGGGAGAAAGCAGGGGACCUUCGGGCCUUGCGCUAUCAGACGAGCCCAGGUCGGAUUAGCUAGUUGGUGAGGUAAUGGCUCACCAAGGCGACGAUCCGUAACUGGUCUGAGAGGAUGAUCAGUCACACCGGAACUGAGACACGGUCCAGACUCCUACGGGAGGCAGCAGUGGGGAAUAUUGGACAAUGGGCGAAAGCCUGAUCCAGCCAUGCCGCGUGUGUGAAGAAGGUCUUCGGAUUGUAAAGCACUUUAAGUUGGGAGGAAGGGCAGUUACCUAAUACGUGAUUGUUUUGACGUUACCGACAGAAUAAGCACCGGCUAACUCUGUGCCAGCAGCCGCGGUAAUACAGAGGGUGCAAGCGUUAAUCGGAAUUACUGGGCGUAAAGCGCGCGUAGGUGGUUAGUUAAGUUGGAUGUGAAAUCCCCGGGCUCAACCUGGGAACUGCAUUCAAAACUGACUGACUAGAGUAUGGUAGAGGGUGGUGGAAUUUCCUGUGUAGCGGUGAAAUGCGUAGAUAUAGGAAGGAACACCAGUGGCGAAGGCGACCACCUGGACUGAUACUGACACUGAGGUGCGAAAGCGUGGGUAGCAAACAGGAUUAGAUACCCUGGUAGUCCACGCCGUAAACGAUGUCAACUAGCCGUUGGGAGCCUUGAGCUCUUAGUGGCGCAGCUAACGCAUUAAGUUGACCGCCUGGGGAGUACGGCCGCAAGGUUAAAACUCAAAUGAAUUGACGGGGGCCCGCACAAGCGGUGGAGCAUGUGGUUUAAUUCGAAGCAACGCGAAGAACCUUACCAGGCCUUGACAUCCAAUGAACUUUCUAGAGAUAGAUUGGUGCCUUCGGGAACAUUGAGACAGGUGCUGCAUGGCUGUCGUCAGCUCGUGUCGUGAGAUGUUGGGUUAAGUCCCGUAACGAGCGCAACCCUUGUCCUUGGUUACCAGCACGUAAUGGUGGGCACUCUAAGGAGACUGCCGGUGACAAACCGGAGGAAGGUGGGGAUGACGUCAAGUCAUCAUGGCCCUUACGGCCUGGGCUACACACGUGCUACAAUGGUCGGUACAGAGGGUUGCCAAGCCGCGAGGUGGAGCUAAUCCCAGAAAACCGAUCGUAGUCCGGAUCGCAGUCUGCAACUCGACUGCGUGAAGUCGGAAUCGCUAGUAAUCGCGAAUCAGAAUGUCGCGGUGAAUACGUUCCCGGGCCUUGCACACACCGCCCGUCA